GCCUACAUAGCUCAGUUGGUUAGAGCACCUGACUGUUAAUCAGGGGGUCCUAGGUUCGAGUCCUAGUGUGGGCGCCA
rnacentral:tRNA from 14 species